rnacentral:sRNA from 1 species
GCCGGGCGCUGUGGCAAGGCCUGUCAUCCCAGCAACUCAGGAGGCUGAGGCAGGAGAAUCAAGAGUUCAAAGCCAGCCUCAGUAAAAGCAACUCAGUGAGACCCUGUCUCUA